UAAUAAUAAUAAUAAUAUAAAUUUGUAAAUCUAUUAUGACGCACAAGAAAAUUUAUAUUAGAAACUCAAAAUGAAUCAAAUUUACUAAGCAUUCUAUUGAAUAUGGUUAGAAUGGAUACGCUUAUGUUAAGUUUUUCCUAAAUUCAAUAUUAAUAUAAUAAUUUUUAAAAAAAGUGUAGAAAAAUAGAAAGACAUAGACUAGAGAGAGAAAGAAGG
rnacentral:misc_RNA from 1 species